GACGAACGCUGGCGGCGUGCUUAACACAUGCAAGUCGAGCGGUAAGGCCCUUUCGGGGGUACACGAGCGGCGAACGGGUGAGUAACACGUGGGUGACCUGCCCUCAGCUCUGGGAUAAGCCUGGGAAACCGGGUCUAAUACUGGAUAUGACUCCAUGACGCAUGUUGUGGGGUGGAAAGCCUUGUGCGGCUGAGGAUGGGCCCGCGGCCUAUCAGCUUGUUGGGGGGUGAU
rnacentral:rRNA from 1 species